rnacentral:rRNA from 1 species
GACGAACGCUGGCGGCGUGCCUAAUACAUGCAAGUCGAGCGGACUUUCAAGAAGCUUGCUUUUUGAAAGUUAGCGGCGGACGGGUGAGUAACACGUGGGCAACCUGCCUGCAAGACGGGGAUAACUCCGGGAAACCGGGGCUAAUACCGGAUAAUGUCUUCCUUCGCAUGAAGGAAGGUUGAAAGGCGGCGCAAGCUGCCGCUUGCAGAUGGGCCCGCGGCGCAUUAGCUAGUUGGUGAGGUAACGGCUCACCAAGGCGACGAUGCGUAGCCGACCUGAGAGGGUGAUCGGCCACACUGGGACUGAGACACGGCCCAGACUCCUACGGGAGGCAGCAGUAGGGAAUCUUCCGCAAUGGACGAAAGUCUGACGGAGCAACGCCGCGUGAGCGAAGAAGGUCUUCGGAUCGUAAAGCUCUGUUGUCAGGGAAGAACAAGUACCGUUCGAACAGGGCGGUACCUUGACGGUACCUGACCAGAAAGCCACGGCUAACUACGUG